rnacentral:rRNA from 1 species
AAUGGGCGAAAGCCUGACGGAGCAAUACCGCGUGAGGGAUGAAGGUUCGUGGAUUGUAAACCUCUUUUUUCAGGGAAGAUAAUGACGGUACCUGAAGAAUAAGCAUCGGCUAACUCCGUGCCAGCAGCCGCGGUAAGACGGAGGAUGCAAGCGUUAUCCGGAAUUAUUGGGCGUAAAGCGUACGCAGGUGGCAUAUCAAGUCCUUUGUUAAAGCGCGAGGCUCAACCUCGUAAAGGCAGAGGAAACUGGUAAGCUAGAGUAUGGUAGGGGCAGGAGGAAUUCCCAGUGUAGCGGUGAAAUGCGUAGAUAUUGGGAAGAACACCAGCGGCGAAAGCGUCCUGCCAAGCCAAAACUGACACUCAUGUACGAAAGCUAGGGGAGCGAAUGGGAUUAGAUACCCC